rnacentral:rRNA from 1 species
AUUGAACGCUGGCGGCAUGCUUUACACAUGCAAGUCGAACGGUAACAGGGUGCUUGCACCGCUGACGAGUGGCGAACGGGUGAGUAAUGCGUCGGAACGCGCCGAGUAGUGGGGGAUAACGCAUCGAAAGGUGUGCUAAUACCGCAUACGUACUGAGGUAGAAAGUGGGGGACCUUCGGGCCUCACGCUAUUCGAGCGGCCGACGUCUGAUUAGCUAGUUGGUGAGGUAAAGGCUCACCAAGGCGACGAUCAGUAGCGGGUCUGAGAGGAUGAUCCGCCACACUGGGACUGAGACACGGCCCAGACUCCUACGGGAGGCAGCAGUGGGGAAUUUUGGACAAUGGGCGCAAGCCUGAUCCAGCCAUGCCGCGUGUCUGAAGAAGGCCUUCGGGUUGUAAAGGACUUUUGUCCGGGAGCAAAUACCCAGUGCUAAUAACGCUGGGGGCUGAGAGUACCGGAAGAAUAAGCACCGGCUAACUACGUGCCAGCCGCCGCCGUAA